ensembl:misc_RNA Metazoa_SRP Metazoan signal recognition particle RNA
GCUAGAUGUGGUGGUGCACAUCUGUAUUUCCAGCUCCUGGGGAGGCUAAGGCAGGAGGAUCUCUUGAGCCCAGGAGUUCUAGGCUGCAGUGUGCUAUAAUUGUGCCACUGCACUUCAGCCUGGGUGACAGAGUGAGACCUUGUCUCUU